GAUGAACGCUGGCGGCGUGCCUAAUACAUGCAAGUCGAGCGAACAGACGAGGAGCUUGCUCCUCUGCCGUUAGCGGCUGACGGGUGAGUAACACGUGGAUAACCUACCUAUAUGACUGGGAUAACUUCGGGAAACCGGUGCUAAUACCGGCUCAUAUAUUCAACCGCAUGGUUCAAUAGUGCAUGACGGUUUUGCCGUUACUUUUAGCUGAUUCCGCGCCGCAUUAGCUAGUUGGUAAGGUAACGGCUUACCAAGGCAACGAUGCGUAGCCGACCUGAGAGGGUGAUCGGCCACACUGGAACUGAGACACGGUCCAGACUCCUACGGGAGGCAGCAGUAGGGAAUCUUCCGCAAUGGGCGAAAGCCUGACGGAGCAACGCCGCGUGAGUGAAGAAGGGCUUCGGAUCGUAAAACUCUGUUAUUAGGGAAGAACAAAUGUGGAAGUAACUAUGCACGUCUUGACGGUACCUAAUCAGAAAGCCACGGCUAACUACGUG
rnacentral:rRNA from 1 species